CAACAACUCUUUUGUAAACCUAAAGCCUUUUUGUUUUGUUUCCAUUAUUUGGAAGAUUGAAUCUGUAGGGAGAGAGAAAGGGAUGGAGGUGAUAGAGACUGGUUAUGUGCUGGGAUUUUGGGAUAGUGAAUGAGGGAAAGGAUUUUAAUAUUUUGGUUUUGGGGUUGGUUGAGGUUGCAAGUGGAACAUUGAUGGGUGGUUUUUAUUUAUAUAUUUUUGAAUUUUUUUGUUUUUGUAAGGAAUGGCUGCUGGAGAUCCUUCUUUAUUUUUGUAAGUUAUAAUUUAUUUAUUUUAAUUUAUAUAUAAUUUUAAACAUUUUAAACAAUAGCAAUAUUUUAAAAAUAUUUUCUAUAUAUAUUUUUUAUUUAAUUUAAAGGAGGAGGAAGCGUCACUGCCCUUCUUUCCUCCUCUCUUCUCAUAUUUUCUUUUUAGGUUAGUGAAUAAGUCCACUGGGAUGUUUUGAAAAAAAGCCACUUGUGGUGGUUUCUUUUGAGCCAUGGUUAGAUUGAAGUUCCCCAUCACCUAUUUUAGUCUAUGUUCUCAAUCAAAUCCUGCUCUCAAAACCCGCUCCCUAACAAAUUCUUUAAAUUUGAUUCUACAUUGUCUUUGAUAGAGGUAGAUCAUUGAAAAUCAUAUUUUUUCCAGAUCUGUUACAGAUGUGGUGUUGGGUGUGGCCGCAACGGUUCUUCUUCAGGUAGUGGUGGUAGGGUUCGUUUAGGCUCAUGGGUUGUUUUAGGGUUUUAUUUAUGUUGGGUUUGUGGGCUUUGUUUGGGCUUUUGGUUAAUUGUGGUGAUGUGUGCUAGUAGUUUUAGUUCGGCUUUUGUCCGCGUUAGUUGUGUUUUUAGUAUAUUAGUUUGUUG
rnacentral:lncRNA from 1 species